rnacentral:rRNA from 1 species
AUCCAAGCGUUAUCCGGAUUUAUUGGGUUUAAAGGGUGCGUAGGCGGGUUGAUAAGUUAGAGGUGAAAUACCGGGGCUUAACUCCGGAACUGCCUCUAAUACUGUUGAGCUAGAGAGUAGUUGCGGUAGGCGGAAUGUAUGGUGUAGCGGUGAAAUGCUUAGAGAUCAUACAGAACACCGAUUGCGAAGGCAGCUUACCAAACUAUAUCUGACGUUGAGGCACGAAAGCGUGGGGAGCAAAC